AGGUGUUGCUAGUAAAGCUUACACACCAAAGAGCAGCAAUGAAACUGAUACUACUAUUACUCGGAGAGGUGUUGCUAAUGGUAAAGCUAGUGUACCAAAGAGUAGCAAUGAAACUGAUACUACUAUUACUCGGAGAGGUGUUGCUAAUGGUAAAGCUAGUACACCAAAGAGUAGCAAUGAAACUGAUUGUGAAAAAGAAACUUGCAAACACCGACGUGCUGUGACUUGGAUUGAGUGCUCUCGAUGCAAUAAGUGGCUUCAUUGGACUUG